rnacentral:rRNA from 1 species
AGAGUUUGAUCAUGGCUCAGGACGAACGCUGGCGGCGUGCUUAACACAUGCAAGUCGAACGAUGAAGCCCAGCUUGCUGGGUGGAUUAGUGGCGAACGGGUGAGUAACACGUGGGUGAUCUGCCCUGCACUUCGGGAUAAGCCUGGGAAACUGGGUCUAAUACCGGAUAUGACCAAGGACUGCAUGGUUUUUGGUGGAAAGGUUUACUGGUGCAGGAUGAGCCCGCGGCCUAUCAGCUUGUUGGUGGGGUAAUGGCCUACCAAGGCGACGACGGGUAGCCGGCCUGAGAGGGCGACCGGCCACACUGGGACUGAGACACGGCCCAGACUCCUACGGGAGGCAGCAGUGGGGAAUAUUGCACAAUGGGCGAAAGCCUGAUGCAGCGACGCCGCGUGAGGGAUGACGGCCUUCGGGUUGUAAACCUCUUUCAGCAGGGACGAAGCGCAAGUGACGGUACCUGCAGAAGAAGCACCGGCCAACUACGUGCCAGCAGCCGCGGUAAUACGUAGGGUGCGAGCGUUGUCCGGAAUUACUGGGCGUAAAGAGCUCGUAGGCGGUUUGUCGCGUCGUCUGUGAAAACCCGCAGCUCAACUGCGGGCUUGCAGGCGAUACGGGCAGACUUGAGUACUGCAGGGGAGACUGGAAUUCCUGGUGUAGCGGUGAAAUGCGCAGAUAUCAGGAGGAACACCGGUGGCGAAGGCGGGUCUCUGGGCAGUAACUGACGCUGAGGAGCGAAAGCGUGGGUAGCGAACAGGAUUAGAUACCCUGGUAGUCCACGCCGUAACGGUGGGCGCUAGGUG